AUGUCCCUGUCCCCAUGUCCCCAAGUUACAAGGUGCCCCUCUAGGUGUCCCCAUCCCCCCCUGAUGUCCCUGUCCCCAUGUCCCCAAGUUACAAGGUGCCCCUCUAGGUGUCCCCAUCCCCCCCUGAUGUCCCUGUCCCCAUGUCCCCAAGUUACAAGGUGCCCCUCUAGGUGUCCCCAUCCCCCCCUGAUGUCCCUGUCCCCAUGUCCCCAAGUUACAAGGUGCCCCUCUAGGUGUCCCCAUCCCCCCCUGAUGUCCCUGUCCCCAUGUCCCCAAGUUACAAGGUGCCCCUCUAGGUGUCCCCAUCCCCCCCUGAUGUCCCUGUCCCCAUGUCCCCAAGUUACAAGGUGCCCCUCUAGGUGUCCCCAUCCCCCCCUGAUGUCCCUGUCCCCAUGUCCCCAAGUUACAAGGUGCCCCUCUAGGUGUCCCCAUCCCCCCCUGAUGUCCCUGUCCCCAUGUCCCCAAGUUACAAGGUGCCCCUCUAGGUGUCCCCAUCCCCCCCUGAUGUCCCUGUCCCCAUGUCCCCAAACUAUGAGGUGCCCCCUCAGUGUCCCCAAGUUGCAAGGUGACCCUGUGACGUCCCCGUCCCCCCCCGCUGUCCCCGUGUCCCCCCCCCAGGCUGCCCAGCAUCCGCCUGGAGCGUCCCCGCUUCGUGAUGACGGCCGCCUGCGAGUCCCCGGUGCGCGCGCGCCAGCGCUUCACCGUCACCUACACCCUGCUCAACGAGCUGCAGGACUUCCUCGCCGUGCGCCUCGUCUGGACGCCCGACACCGCCACCGCCGGGAAGGCCCUGUCGGGCCCCGAGCGCCGCGCCACGCAGGCGGCCCUGGACGCCAUCGUGUGCCACACGCCCCUCACCAACCUGGGCUCCUCGCGCAAGGGCAGCGCCCGCACCAUCCGCGUCGCCUUCCAGGCCCUGCGCGCCGGCCUCUUCGAGCUGUCGCAGCACAUGAAGCUGAAGCUGCAGUUCACGGCCAGCGUGGGCAGCGCCGAGGCGCGGGCGCUAUCGCGACGCAGCAGCCCCGGCAGCCCGGCGGUGAGGGACCUGGUGGAGAGGCACCAGGCGGGCCUGGGGCGCUCCCAGUCCUUCUCCCACCAGNNNNNNNNNNGGCCUCCGGGGCCAAAAUCUGGAGGCCAAAUUAGGGGAGGCCAAAUGAGGAGAAGAGGCCAAAAGAGAGGAGAGGAUGAAUGAGAAAGGGAGGCCAAAUGGGGAAAUUCAUGGUGUCUUUGCGUCCCUACAUCCCCUCCUCGACCCCAUAUUCCUCUGCCUGCCCUUGAGGUGAGGCCAGAGGCCACCAGGGCCAAAAUGGGGAGGAAAAAUCAGGGGAGGCCAAACAAGGAGGAGAGGCCAAAUUAGAGGCUGAACGAGGAGGGGAGGCCAAAUGGGGAAAUUCAUGGUGUUUCUGCAUCCCUACAUCCCCACCCCGACCCCAUAUCGCUCUGCCCGCCCUCGAGGUGAGGCUGGGGGCCUCCGGGGCCGAAAAGGGGAGGCCAAAUUAGGGGAGGACAAAUGAGUAGAGGCCAAACGAGGAGGAGAGGCCAAAUUAGAGGAGGAUGAAUGAGAAAGGGAGGCCAAAUGGGGAAAUUUAUGGUGUCUUUGCGUCCCUACGUCCCCACCCCGACCCCAUAUCCCCCUGCCCACCCUCGAGGUGAGGCUGGGGGCCUCCGGGCCCAAAAAGGGGAGGCCGGGAGGGGGUCCCGGGCCUCCCCCCGACCCCCCCGUGCCCCCCCAGCUGUCGCAGCACAUGAAGCUGAAGCUGCAGUUCACGGCCAGCGUGGGCAGCGCCGAGGCGCGGGCGCUAUCGCGACGCAGCAGCCCCGGCAGCCCGGCGGUGAGGGACCUGGUGGAGAGGCACCAGGCGGGCCUGGGGCGCUCCCAGUCCUUCUCCCACCAGCAGCCGGCCCGCGGCCACCUCAUCAGGUGGGUUUUGGGGCCAAAAACGGGGAUUUUGGGCAAUAUACGUGGGUUUUGGGGAGAAAUAUGGAGUUUUGGGGGGAAAUAUGGGGGUUUUGGGGUAUGGGGUCGGAUCUGGGGUGCUCCCAGUCCUUCUCGCACAAGCAGCCAGCCCGUGGCCACCUCAUCAGGUGGGUUUUGGGGUGAAAAACAGGGAUUUUGGGCAAUAUAUGGGGGGUUUGGGGGGGAGUAUGAGACUUUUGGGGGAGUUCUGGGGGGAAAUGUGGGGAUUUUGGGGUAUAGGGUCAGAUCUGGGGUGCUCCCAGUCCUUCUCCCACCAGCAGCUGGCCUGCAGACACCUCAUCAGGUGGGUUUUGGGGUGAAAAACGGGGAUUUGGGGCAAUAUUUAUUUAAUUUGAGGAGGGAAAUAUAGAGAUNNNNNNNNNNAAGGGGAGGCCAAAUUAGGAGAGGCCAAAAGAGGGGAGGCCAAAUGAGGAGAAGUUGAACAAGGAGGGGAGGCCAAAUGGGGAAAUUCAUGGUGUUUCUGCAUCCCUAAAUCCCCACCCCGACCCCAUAUCGCUCUGCCCGCCCUCGAGGUGAGGCUGCGGGCCUCCAGGGUCAAAAAAUGGAGGCUGAAUUAGGGGAGGACAAAUGAGUAGAGGCCAAAUGAGGAGAGGAGGCCAAACUAGAGGAGGAUGAAUGAGAAAGGGAGGCCAAAUGGGGAAAUUUAUGGUGUCUUUGCGUCCCUACAUCCCCUCCUCGACCCCAUAUCCCUCUGCCCGCCCUUGAGGUGAGGCUGGGAGCCUCCGGGGCCAAAAAUGGGAGGCCAAAUUAGGAGAGGCCAAAACGAGGAGGAGAAGAGGCCAAAUUAGAGGAGGCUGAACGAGGAGAGGAGGCCAAAUGGGGAAAUUCAUGGUGUCUCCGUGUCCCUACAUCCCCACCCCAACCCCAUAUCCCUCUGCCCGCCCUUGAGGUGAGGCUGGAGGCCACCAGGGCCAAAAUGGGGAGGAAAAAUUAGUAGAGGCCAAACGAGGAGAAGAGGCCAAAAGAGAGGAGGCCAAAUGAGGGGAGGACGAAUAAGGAAGGGNNNNNNNNNNGCCUGCAGACACCUCAUCAGGUGGGUUUUGGGGUGAAAAACGGGGAUUUGGGGCAAUAUUUAUUUAAUUUGAGGAGGGAAAUAUAGAGAUUUGGGGGGAAAUAGGCGAUUUUGGGGGGAAAUACGGGGGUUUUGGGGUUUGGGGUCAGGCCUGGGGCACUCCCAGUCCUUCUCCCACAACAGCCAGCCCGUGGCCACCUCAUCAGGUGGGUUUUGGGGCCAAAAACAGGGAUUUGGGACAGUAUCCAGGGGGUUUUGGGGAGAAUAUGAGACUUUUAGGGAGAAAUACUGAAUUUUGGGGGGAAAUACGGGUGUUUUGGGGUAUGGGGUUGGGUCUGGGGCGCUCCCAGUCCUUCUCCCACCAGCAGCCGGCCCACGGCCACCUCAUCAGGUGGGUUUUGGGGCAAAAAAACAGGGAUUUGGUGCAAUACAUGGUGGUUUGGGGGCAAAUAAGGGCGUUUGGGGGGAAAUAUGGGGAUUUUGGGGUAUGUGGGGGGGGGGGGUGGGGUGUGGGGUCGGACGUGGGGGGAACCCCAGGACCCCCCCCCCACAGCACCCA
rnacentral:lncRNA from 1 species